ensembl:lncRNA
CUCAUCUUGCUGUGUGUUCUGUCCGUUUGCCAGUAUCUUUGAUGCUGAAACUAACAGAGCAAAAACUGCGUUCUGAUCUUCGCUGAGAUCAACCUCAUGGCCUCAUCAAUGUUCUGUACAGAUGUGUCUUUGUCACGGAGUCAGGGCAGAUCAUGUUUGAGAAACAGGGAGAGCGAGUUUCCUCUCCGCUCACCUUCAGAGGGUAGGAGGACUUUGGUGUGAUGUCUGGAUUACAGCAACACGUACCAGGAUGUCUGGUGGAGGACUGCCUGAUGUCAUUCAUGUCUUUGGCGUCCGCUGGACUCCGAGCAGGUCUGGACCGCAUGCUGGAGGAUGGACUAACGAUCCCACCAGGACAGGAGGAGGUGUCACUGCUGAACAGCUCUGCUGUGUGGGACGAGCAGCUGGACGAGGGCAACUCGAGGUUCCCUACAAUCCCCAAAGUAUUUUAGCACAUCUGGAGAUGCUCCUGGUGGACACAGGUGGGUCGAGUAUCCAAAAAUUGUACUCAAGUAAG